GUUCAAGAGAUUCAACUACCAGAUUGUCCUGUGCACUGACCAAUUAGGACAGAUGCCGGGAUAAACAACUGGCUUACCUGUACCAAUGCAUUCCUGCUGAACAUCAACCAGCUUUGCGUCUUAUUCUGAGUGAAGCUGUUCUCAGUAUGGUGCAAGGAAAAGCCUCAUGAAAACCAUGCAUGCAACUGUUAUCGGACCCCACCUUUCUGGAGAAAUUUGGGAUACAUUCCCUCAUGCCAAAUGGGAAAAUAGCACCAUUCCAGAUGUUCACACGCAGGAUCCCAGUUUUGCAAAUGAAACAACUAGGCUCAAUGAGGUUCCAAGAACUAAUAAGUUGCAGAUACAGGUACUGAAUU